UACCAGCACCCCGAGUGGUCGGGACGAUUAUUGGGCCUAAAGCAUCCGUAGCCGGUCCUACAAGUCUUCCGUUAAAUCCACCUGCUCAACAGAUGGGCUGCGGAAGAUACUAUAGGGCUAGGAGGCGGGAGAGGCAAGCGGUACUCAGUGGGUAGGGGUAAAAUCCUCUGAUCCAUUGAAGACCACCAGUGGCGAAGGCGGCUUGCCAGAACGCGCUCGACGGCGAGGGAUGAAAGCUGGGGGAGCAAACCGG
rnacentral:rRNA from 1 species